GAAAUAGUAUAUUUACCUCAGUCAAAAUAUUUGUCUACUUCUAGUCAGCUUCUAGUCAGAUAUUACUAUAAAAAUCUAAUAAAUUCUUCGAGCAUAUUUUAAGGUGGUACCCAACACCUGAACUAAAACUAAUUUGGCUCGUUUAAUUUUCAUAAAAUGUUUACAAAGUAUUUACUUUGACCCUUUGACAAAAAUAUAAAAAUUUCAAAAAAUUUGAACCAACCAUUUUAUCAGAAAAAAUACACUGGUUAUAUAGCAGUUCGACAAACACUCAUUUUGAUCAUUGAGAAGCUUUAUAUUCCCUUAACAACACAACAUAAUUAAAACUUUUAGCUGAUUUUACAGAGUUAUCUCCCUGUAGUGUUAGGUGCAACCUUAAAUGCUUCAAACCAGUAAAUUUAAGUUUUUCUGUUAUUCCAAAAAAAUCUCCAAUAUAUUUC
rnacentral:lncRNA from 1 species